AAGCCACUAUGGCCAAGACCAACGAGCUGACAAAGGACACCAGAAACAAAACUGUAGACCUGCACCAGCCUGGGAAGACUGAAUCUGCAAUAGCUGCCGUCAUCCACAAUCUGGUACGUGCGCAACCUACUUCAGCAGUUGGCAAAACGGGUCGAAGCACUUCCUCCUGGCUGGGAUGAAUGGCGAAGGGGACAGUGACAAAACACACGGAAUUUUAAAUGGCUACAGUGUCUUUUUUAAAACAAGACUUCACUACAAAAGGUGUUUAGGCCUUGUUUGUGUUUAAUUAUAUCAUAUUUGUAUAAAUAAAUGAUAUACGGUACAUGCAUUUAACUUUUGUGUAAAGACACCAGUUAUAAAGAAGAAAUUUUUUUUUUUUUUCAA